UAGGACUAAUAAUAAAAAUCUUGUUAUUCAAGCUACUCAAUGGAUAAAUACCAAAUCAUGAAGUGGGAAAAUUUUAUGUAAAUCAUUCUAAGGGGCGGAUUUACUUGAAGGGCAGGCUGGGCUGUUGCCUGGCCCAAAAUUUUUCGUGAAAAAAAAAAAAAAAAAACGUAUCUUUAGUAGCCCACAUAAAAUUAAAACAAAUAAAAGCAGAGAGCUUCCAUUGAGGGAUCCCUCAAAUAAGCUUAUUUGAGGGACACCCCUUGUAGGCCCC
rnacentral:lncRNA from 1 species